GUUGCUUCUCUGCUUAUUGGCUAAGAUCUAGUAUAUGUUUUUGUCAGUUUAACACCUGCUAUGUCCUCUAACUCAGGACCAUAUAUAAAAAGGACUUUUGAGCUGGGAGCUGGUAUAGGAGUUUGUUCUGAUUAUAAAAUGAGAUAAAUUCUAAUUACU
rnacentral:snRNA from 1 species